rnacentral:rRNA from 1 species
UACGGAGGAUGCAAGCGUUAUCCGGAAUUAUUGGGCGUAAAGCGUCCGCAGGUGGUCAAUCAAGUCUGCUGUCAAAGCACGUGGCUUAACCACGAAAAGGCAGUGGAAACUGAAGGACUAGAGUGCUCAAGGGGUAGAGGGAAUUCUCGGUGUAGCGGUGAAAUGCGUAGAGAUCGAGAAGAACAUCGGUGGCGAAAGCGCUCUACUGGAGAGCAACUGACACUCAGGGACGAAAGCUAGGGGAGCGAAUGGG